rnacentral:rRNA from 2 species
CACCUCCAGCAUCCCUAGUAUUGGAGGCACUGCCUGCCCAGUGACAACUGUUUAACGGCCGCGGUAUCCUGACCGUGCAAAGGUAGCAUAAUCAUUUGUUCUCUAAAUAAGGACUUGUAUGAAUGGCCACACGAGGGUUUUACUGUCUCUUACUUCCAAUCAGUGAAAUUGACCUUCCCGUGAAGAGGCGGGAAUGCAUAAAUAAGACGAGAAGACCCUAUGGAGCUUUAACUAACCAACCCAAAGAAAAUAAAUUUAACCAUUGAGGAACAACAACAAUCUCCAUGAGUUGGUAGUUUCGGUUGGGGUGACCUCGGAGAAUAAAAAAUCCUCCGAACGAUUUUAAAGACUAGACCCACAAGUCAAAUCACUCUAUCGCUCAUUGAUCCAAAAAUUUGAUCAACGGAACAAGUUACCCUAGGGAUAACAGCGCAAUCCUAUUUAAGAGUCCAUAUCGACAAUAGGGUUUACGACCUCGAUGUUGGAUCAGGACAUCCUGAUGGUGCAACCGCUAUCAAAGGUUCGUUUGUUCAACGAUUAAAGUCCU